rnacentral:rRNA from 1 species
UGGGGAAUAUUGCACAAUGGGGGAAACCCGUGAUGCAGCCAUGCCGCGUGUGUGAAGAAGGCCUUCGGGUUGUAAAGCACUUUCAGCGAGGAGGAAAGGUUGAUGCCUAAUACGCAUCAGCUGUGACGUUACUCGCAGAAGAAGCACCGGCUAACUCCGUGCCAGCAGCCGCGGUAAUACGGAGGGUGCAAGCGUUAAUCGGAAUUACUGGGCGUAAAGCGCACGCAGGCGGUUGGAUAAGUUAGAUGUGAAAGCCCCGGGCUCAACCUGGGAAUUGCAUUUAAAACUGUCCAGCUAGAGUCUUGUAGAGGGGGGUAGAAUUCCAGGUGUAGCGGUGAAAUGCGUAGAGAUCUGGAGGAAUACCGGUGGCGAAGGCAGCCCCCUGGGCUAGCACUGACGCUCAGGCGCGAAAGCGUGGGGGAGCAAACAGGAUUAGAUACC